CUGUAGUUCAGUUGGUUAGAGCGUCAGAUUGUGGUUCUGAAUGUCGUGGGUUCGAGUCCCAUCAG
rnacentral:tRNA from 5 species